rnacentral:rRNA from 1 species
GUGGGGAAUAUUGGACAAUGGGGGGAACCCUGAUCCAGCCAUGCCGCGUGUGUGAAGAAGGCCUUUUGGUUGUAAAGCACUUUAAGCGAGGAGGAGGCUACCGAGAUUAAUACUCUUGGAUAGUGGACGUUACUCGCAGAAUAAGCACCGGCUAACUCUGUGCCAGCAGCCGCGGUAAUACAGAGGGUGCACGCGUUAAUCGGAUUUACUGGGCGUAAAGCGCGCGUAGGUGGCCAAUUAAGUCAAAUGUGAAAUCCCCGAGCUUAACUUGGGAAAUGCAAUCGAUACUGGUUGGCUAGAGUAUGGGAGAGGAUGGUAGAAUUCCAGGUGUAGCGGUGAAAUGCGUAGAGAUCUGGAGGAAUACCGAUGGCGAAGGCAGCCAUCUGGCCUAAUACUGACACUGAGGUGCGAAAGCAUGGGGAGCAAACAGGAUUAGAUACCCUUGUAGUCC